rnacentral:tRNA from 1 species
GCCCCCAUCGUCUAGUGGACAAGGACAUAGCCCUUUCAAGGCUAAAACGGGGAUUCGAUUUCCCCUGGGGGCGCCA